UACGUAGGGCGCAAGCGUUGUCCGGAAUUAUUGGGCGUAAAGAGCUCGUAGGCGGUUUGUCGCGUCUGCUGUGAAAACCUAAGGCUCAACCUUGGGCUUGCAGUGGGUACGGGGCAGACUAGAGUGCGGUAGGGGGUGACUGGAAUUCCUGGUGUAGCGGUGGAAUGCGCAGAUAUCAGGGAGGGAACACCCGAUGGCGAAAGGCAGGUCAC
rnacentral:rRNA from 1 species